GGGGCACCUCCGAUCCCCCCACAAAAGCCUCCUCAGUCUCCUCCUCCUCUUGCUCCCCUCCCUCCCUCCCUCCUCUCCCGGAAGCCAGAGCUGCUGAGAAAGAGAGGAGGGGGUCUCCCUUCCUCCCCGGAUUGGUCGGCGGCCCCCUCUCCCUGAGCGUCGAAGGAGGCGCUGAUUGGCCGCUCCAUCUUGUCACUCGGGCGAGGGCCAAGUUCUACCGCGGGCUGGGCGUGCGGACGGGGACUGCUGCUGCUGCUGCUGGUGGUGCAGCUGCGGCGAGAGCGAGCGGGACCGAGAGGCAGCGCGAGCACCAGAGCCAGAGGCGUGAUGCUGGCGAAAUGGGGAGCCGGGCAACAGAGGAUGCGGGGACUCCGCUGAAGGCGCGGCGGGGGCUGCCCAGACGCCGCCUCCGAACAGAGCUCUGAGGAUUACUUGGGAAGGAAUCCUACUGGAGUAUUGCAGCACAGCAAAAAACUUGGGAGUUGCCCUGGACCGUGCUCUGACUUUCAAGAAGAACUGUUUGACUAUCAAGCAAAAAGUGAGUAUUAGAAACAAUAUCAUACAAAAGAUGGCUGGCACAACCUAGGGACCACAACCAGAC
rnacentral:lncRNA from 11 species